UGUUUGUUGCUUAAGGGCGCAUGGUGGAUGCCUUGGCAUGCUGGGCCGAUGAAGGACGUGUGAGGCUGCGUUAUGCCUCGGGGAGUUGUCAACAAAGCGUUGAUCCGAGGAUGUCCGAAUGGGGAAACCCGGCCACGGUUGUGUGUGGUCACCGUAUGAUGAAUUCAUAGUUGUGCGGGGGUGAUACCGGGAAGUGAAACAUCUCAGUACCGGUGGGAGAGGAAAAUAAUAAUGAUUCUGUUAGUAGCGGCGAGCGAACGCGGAUGAGGCUAAACCGUGUGCGUGUGAUACCUGGCAGGGGUUGCGUGUGCGGUGUUGUGGGGUGCGAUGGUCAACGGUCUGCCAGUCGUUGCAUUUCUAGUGCGUGUUAGCGGAAGUGGCCUGGGAUGGUCUGCCGGAGUAGGUGAGAGUCCUGUACGUGAAGGCGUGUGCUGGUUGUGUGUCGUGUUUGCCCCGAGUAGCAGCGGGCUCGUGGAAUCUGCUGUGAAUCUGCCGGGACCACCCGGUAAGCCUAAAUACCUAGUGUGACCGAUAGUGGAUAGUACCGUGAGGGAAUGGUGAAAAGUACCCCGGGAGGGGAGUGAAAGAGUUCCUGAAACUGUGCGCUUACAAUCCGUCAGAGCACCUUCUGUGUGUGUGAUGGCGUGCCUUUUGAAGAAUGAGCCUGCGAGUCAGCGGCAUGUCGCGAGGUUAACCCGUUUGGGGUAGUCGUAGCGAAAGCGAAUGCUAAUUGUGUGUUUUAAGUGGCAUGUCCUGGACCCGAAGCGGGGUGAUCUACCCAUGGCCAGUGUGAAGCAGCUGUAAGAGGUUGUGGAGGCGCGAACCCACGUAGGUUGAAAACUGCGGGGAUGAGUUGUGGGUAGGGGUGAAAGGCCAAUCAAACUCCGUGAUAGCUGGUUCUCCCCGAAAUGCAUUUAGGUGCAGCGUCGCGUAGGUGUGCCGGAGGUAGAGCUACUGGUUGGUUGAGCGGGACUAUCAUCUUAGCAAUGUCAGCCAAACUCCGAAUGCCGGUCCUACAUUGGUGCGCGGCAGUGAGACUGUGGGGGAUAAGCUUCAUAGUCGAGAGGGAAACAGCCCAGAUCGCCGGUUAAGGCCCCUAAGGGUGUACUAAGUGGAAAAGGAUGUGUAAUCGCGAAGACAGCCAGGAGGUUGGCUUAGAAGCAGCCACCCUUGAAAGAGUGCGUAAUAGCUCACUGGUCGAGUGGUUGCGCGCCGACAAUUCAGUGGGGCUCAAGUACACCGCCGAAGCCGCGGCAUAUUUUUUAUAUGGGUAGGGGAGCGUCGUGCAUGGGGUGAAGCGUUACCGGAAGGGGGCGUGGACUGUGUGCGAGUGAGAAUGCAGGCAUGAGUAACGAAUGAUGCGUGAGAAUCGUAUCCGCCGGAUGACUAAGGGUUCCUGGGUCAAGUUCGUCUUCCCAGGGUGAGUCGGGUCCUAAGGCGAGGCCGACAGGCGUAGUCGAUGGUCAACGGGUUGAUAUUCCCGUACCCGUGCAUACGCGCCCAAGUGCGAAGCGGUGAUACUAACCACCCUGACCACCCGCCACGGCAGUCUUUGACUGUUGGGUGGGUGUGAUGCGUGGGGCCUGAUCCGUUGUAGUUCAGUGAUGGGGUGACGCAGUCAGGUAGCUACGCCACUUAAGUGGAUUGUGGUGCAAGCGUGUGGCACAUGGACUAGUCAAAUGCGGUCCUGUUUGUGUGAGGCGUGAUGCGUAGCCCGUAUGUGGGUGAUGGUGGUGAUCCUAUGCUGUCGAGAAAAGCCUCUAGCGAUGUGUGUGUACGGCCCGUACCCGAAACCGACACAGGUAGUCAGGUAGAAAAUACUCAGGCGGUCGGGUGAACUGUGGUUAAGGAACUCGGCAAAUUGCCCCCGUAACUUCGGGAGAAGGGGGGCCAUGACUGGUGAGCGCAACAUGCGUGUGUGAGCUGGUUGUGGUCGCAGAGAAGAGAGGGAAGCGACUGUUUAUCAAAAACACAGGUCCGUGCGAAGACGGUCAAGUUGAUGUAUACGGACUGACGCCUGCCCGGUGCUGGAAGGUUAAGAGGACCUGUUAGACCCUUUGUGGUCGAAGCGGAGAAUUUAAGCCCCAGUAAACGGCGGUGGUAACUAUAACCAUCCUAAGGUAGCGAAAUUCCUUGUCGGGUAAGUUCCGACCUGCACGAAUGGCGUAACGACUUCCCUGCUGUCUCAACCACAGGCCCGGUGAAAUUGCACUACGAGUAAAGAUGCUCGUUACGCGCGGCAGGACGAAAAGACCCCGGGACCUUCACUAUAGCUUGGUAUUGGUGUUUACUGCGGUUUGUGUAGCAUAGGUGGGAGACUUAGAAGCGUUCACGCUAGUGG
rnacentral:rRNA from 1 species